ensembl:lncRNA
UUAGAAAGUGUGUAUUUUAAACAUUGUUAUUUAAUUGUAUUUUUUAAGCACAAAAUGACACACAUUUGAUCAUCUUCAAGGCUGAAUUUCACCAGGUGGAAGAUGACACACUAGCGACUCUUCCUGCUGUCUUUGCUGUGCUCUCAACUCUCCAUCAGUGACGGCUGUGUUUAAAGUGCCAACAAUCUCCCGUCAAUUAGCCAGGACGUGCGCCACUCAUUCCCUUCUGUUUGACACGUGAAGGAAUUCCUCUCCACAGUUCUUCUGUUUGUUUAACUUCCAAUGCAAAAAGCUCUCUCCAUCUUCAACUAUCGCCUCGGUUUCUCCUGUUUAAAUGACUGCAGCUAGCAGUAGUUUCAUUUUUUCGGGGUCAACUUUGUUUACUUCCGGUGUGCCGGAAAAUAUUUGAUCACAUUUAUCUCGGCAACAUUAAUCACAUUCAUUUUGACAGUCCUAGUUGUUAUAUCAUUAAGUGUACAGCAUGUAAUAAUCUUUGUUUUUCCAAUCUCCUUCUAGUGUAUCAAUCAAUGACAUUGAACUCAACACCUAUGCUAGACUUAGUGUGGGGAAAAUAAUACAAUCAUAAUUACAAUUAAAAGAUACAAAUAUGAGGAAAUAAAAUGAUAGAAAUAGAUACAUGGAACCUUAUAUAUUGUUGAAACAACAAAAUAAAAAAUAAAUCCUCACCAUUGGUUCUCAAAAGUAUUUGUAUUGUAUCAUAUAACAUCUGCUUUCUGCCUUUUGUCAAGUAGCUGAUAACUCACACAGGAGCUUAAAUGUUUGAUUACUCUGUUUCUCAGUGAUGGAUGUUGUCUUGUUUUCUGCCACAAGCUUUUCCCAGACCUCUGGCAGAUUUCUGUGGCCCCCGUUGAGCCACGCCUCUUCCCCAUCUACGUCACGUCUCUGGUCUAUUGCCGGGUUGUCAGAUCAUGCCCCAGAAAAUGUGAACUUUCUCCCCAUCUCUUUCUUGCAGCUCACCCUGUGUGGACUUCUAAACACGCCAGUGUACACACGGGCAGCAGAUAGAGGAGGAAGGAGAAGAAGAAGAAGAAGAAGAAGAAGAAGAAAGCUUUCUGUGGGGCUGGAAGUGGCCCCUGUGGGAAUGUGAACCUGUCAGGCCCUAUCUGGGCAGCUGCUGCCGGGUUCAGGACCAGCGACAGAACAGAACUCACCGAGAACUGGAGCGCUUACAGUGUCGUCUGCCCUCCUUCAGUGAAACAGAUUUGUGUUUAUGCAAGUCAGGUUUUCAUUUAUACAAUUCAUGCAAAAGAUUUUGAGCAUGUGAUGAACAAAAUGAAUUUGUCUAGUUACGUGAUGGAUAAAAAUAGAGAAUAUUAUGCAUAUUUUGCGAAAUCCAGUGGUACAUUGAUAUCUGAAGAUGAGUCUACUUCUAGUUGGUGUAAAGAUUCCAAAUGUUGCGACUUUUUUUAUAUCUGAGAUUAAUAGGUGAUGGAAAUGUGAUUCGCUGUUGAGGCAUAAAACAAACCCCCAAAAUUGCAUGAAUUAAUACGACUACACAAAAUUGAUAGUCAAGUUGUUGCCAACGCUCACGCUGACUAUAAAUGUCUGUGACAAUUUAUUGGCAAUCCAAUCCAACAUUUGAUGACCAAAGUAGAGGAGUGUCUAGGAUAGCACUUAAACCAUAUCCAGGCACUGGUGUGCUUUGAGUCAGUGUUUUCUUUAUCAGCAGUGUAAUGAAUAGAAUCCAGCAAAUUCCUGUAAAAAAGUAAAAAAGGUGAAGACAUUUACUUAUUUUGUAUCUGCUACAAACUGAAUUGGACAUUUUAUUCCAUUUUGAAAAAUAAAAGAUCCUUUAAAUGAUUAUAUUCAUGAUGAGAAAUGGGCUUCCAUAGAAAAAUAUAGAUUGUGUGAAAAUAAAGCUUACUUCCCUGUGUUAAAAUUUGCUUCUGACAGCAAGCAAAAGUAAAUGUAAACUUUUGUAAUUGACAAAUGAAAUAUUUGUAAAGUAAUAUUACUUUACGGAGACAUGUAGAAUAAACACAUUAGAAUAGUAAACACAUUAGAUGUGUUUGCAUCUCAGUACACAAACGUGUUUAGCAGGCAUUUUCAAAAUGAAAUUAUGUGUAAUUGGUUCACCAGCGCUAUACGUUUUAGAUUUUGGUAAAAUCAUGGUAAUGAAUAUAGUUAGAUUUUUCUGUUUUGUAUAUGUGGCAAGUGGAAAACAAGUAAUUGUUGCUUUUUUUACAAACUUUAUCACAAGGUUUUAAAAUGUAAUCUAAAAUAUUGUGUUUGGCGACACACUUCAAUGGAUCCAGUUGUUGGAAGGAGAUGUUUUCACAACUAUGUAAAACUAUUACCAGUUUAUUUUACCAACACCUGUAUACCUCAUUAAAACUACUAAUGUAAAAAUGUAAUAAUUAUGUUGAGAUAUGUAAAUAAAUUUUGUCCAACUGUUCAAA